rnacentral:rRNA from 1 species
GGGCCCGCACAAGCGGUGGAGCAUGUGGUUUAAUUCGAUGCAACGCGAAGAACCUUACCUACUCUUGACAUCCAGAGAACUUUUCAGAGAUGAAUUGGUGCCUUCGGGAACUCUGAGACAGGUGCUGCAUGGCUGUCGUCAGCUCGUGUUGUGAAAUGUUGGGUUAAGUCCCGCAACGAGCGCAACCCUUAUCCUUGUUUGCCAGCGAGUAAUGUCGGGAACUCCAGGGAGACUGCCGGUGAUAAACCGGAGGAAGGUGUGGAUGACGUCAAGUCAUCAUGCCCCUUACAUCCUGGGCUACACACGUACUACAAUGCUACGGACAAAGGGCUGCAAGUUCGCGAGGACAAGCAAAUCCCAUAAACCGUGGCUCAGUUCAGAUCGUAGGCUGCAACUCGCCUACGUGAAGGAGGAAUCGCUAG